rnacentral:rRNA from 1 species
UUGAACGCUGGCGGCAGGCCUAACACAUGCAAGUCGAGCGGUAACACAGAGAGCUUGCUCUCGGGUGACGAGCGGCGGACGGGUGAGUAAUGUCUGGGAAACUGCCUGAUGGAGGGGGAUAACUACUGGAAACGGUAGCUAAUACCGCAUAACGUCGCAAGACCAAAGUGGGGGACCUUCGGGCCUCAUGCCAUCAGAUGUGCCCAGAUGGGAUUAGCUAGUAGGUGGGGUAACGGCUCACCUAGGCGACGAUCCCUAGCUGGUCUGAGAGGAUGACCAGCCACACUGGAACUGAGACACGGUCCAGACUCCUACGGGAGGCAGCAGUGGGGAAUAUUGCACAAUGGGCGCAAGCCUGAUGCAGCCAUGCCGCGUGUGUGAAGAAGGCCUUCGGGUUGUAAAGCACUUUCAGCGGGGAGGAAGGCGGUGAGGUUAAUAACCUCAUCGAUUGACGUUACCCGCAGAAGAAGCACCGGCUAACUCCGUGCCAGCAGCCGCGGUAAUACGGAGGGUGCAAGCGUUAAUCGGAAUUACUGGGCGUAAAGCGCACGCAGGCGGUCUGUCAAGUCGGAUGUGAAAUCCCCGGGCUCAACCUGGGAACUGCAUUCGAAACUGGCAGGCUAGAGUCUUGUAGAGGGGGGUAGAAUUCCAGGUGUAGCGGUGAAAUGCGUAGAGAUCUGGAGGAAUACCGGUGGCGAAGGCGGCCCCCUGGACAAAGACUGACGCUCAGGUGCGAAAGCGUGGGGAGCAAACAGGAUUAGAUACCCUGGUAGUCCACGCCGUAAACGAUGUCGAUUUGGAGGUUGUGCCCUUGAGGCGUGGCUUCCGGAGCUAACGCGUUAAAUCGACCGCCUGGGGAGUACGGCCGCAAGGUUAAAACUCAAAUGAAUUGACGGGGGCCCGCACAAGCGGUGGAGCAUGUGGUUUAAUUCGAUGCAACGCGAAGAACCUUACCUGGUCUUGACAUCCACAGAACUUUCCAGAGAUGGAUUGGUGCCUUCGGGAACUGUGAGACAGGUGCUGCAUGGCUGUCGUCAGCUCGUGUUGUGAAAUGUUGGGUUAAGUCCCGCAACGAGCGCAACCCUUAUCCUUUGUUGCCAGCGGUUAGGCCGGGAACUCAAAGGAGACUGCCAGUGAUAAACUGGAGGAAGGUGGGGAUGACGUCAAGUCAUCAUGGCCCUUACGACCAGGGCUGCACACGUGCUACAAUGGCAUAUACAAAGAGAAGCGACCUCGCGAGAGCAAGCGGACCUCAUAAAGUAUGUCGUAGUCCGGAUUGGAGUCUGCAACUCGACUCCAUGAAGUCGGAAUCGCUAGUAAUCGUAGAUCAGAAUGCUACGGUGAAUACGUUCCCGGGCCUUGUACACACCGCCCGUCACACCAUGGGAGUGGGUUGCAAAAGAAGUAGGUAGCUUAACCUUCGGGAGGGCGCUUACCACUUUGUGAUUCAUGACUGGGGUG